AAUACAUUGGUACUCAGAAGGUUGCUGGUUCGAGCCCCACAGUCACCACCAUUGUGUCCUUGAGUAAGACACUUAACUCCAGGUUGCUCCGGGGGGAUUGUCCCUGUAAUAAGUGCUCUGUAUAAUACAUUGGUACUCAGAAGGUUGCUGGUUUGAUCCCCACAGUCACCACCAUUGUGUCCUUGAGUAAGACACUUAACUCCAGGUUGCUCCGGGGGGAUUGUCCCUGUAAUAAGUGCUCUGUAUAAUACAUUGGUACUCAGAAGGUUGCUGGUUCGAGCCCCACAGUCACCACCAUUGUGUCCUUGAGUAAGACACUUAACUCCAGGUUGCUCCGGGGGGAUUGUCCCUGUAAUAAGU